CCCAGCUACCUCCCAUCUACUAUACUGCCCCAUCUACUAUUCUGCCCCCAAAUCUGCUUUACUGCCCUCCAACCUGCCCAUAUACCACAAUCUGCCCCACUGCUCCCUAUUCUGUUCAUAUACCCCAUUCUUGUGGGAUCUGCCCACUGUAGCCGGGGUACAUACUCCCUUAAUCUUUUUUUAAUCAGGGACAUUCAUUUUCUCCUCCCCCCGCCUCCUCUCAACUGCCUUACUGGUGUUUACGAAUCAUCCGCACCCCUUAUCUACCAUACCAGGGUACAGUAAUAAUCUGCUCUUACAGACAGCUAAUGACUACCCAGUACUGUGUGGGGCAUAUCACUUGUCAAACAGCACAAUAAGCCUGGUUGUCUAAUUACUGGGUGCAAAUGGGCAUUCACUUAUAACCCACAUAAUAUAGAUAUCAGCCCUAUGCUAUACGCCAUAUUGUAGAACUGUCAAGAUUGUCAGACUGAAGUUGAAAAAGAUGUAUAUACCUCAGUGUGUGUGUGUGUCUGUCUGUCUGUCUGUGAGAGUCUGUGAGUGUCUGUCUGUGAGUGUGUCUGUGAGUGUCAGUGUGUGUGUGUGUGUCGUUCAGGGAGUGUGUGUGUGUGUCAUUCAGGGAGUGCGUAUGUCAGUGUGUGUGUAGCUGUCAGUGUGUAUGUGAGUGUAUGUGUGUGUCUGUCAAAUUAGUGAGGAUGUUCAUGUCAGUGAGUGUGUGUGUGUAAGUGUGUGUCUGUCAUUGAAAGUGUGGGUUGUUUAAACAAUGUGCAUGCCAAUGACUGUAUGUGUGCGCCAAUAACUAUGUAUCUGUCAGUGAGUGUAUGUCAGUGCAUGUGAAUGAGGGCGUGUGUCUGUCAUUCAAAAAAGUGGCCUUGACACGAAGUGGUGGGGCAAAUUUAGAUUAGGGGGGUGCCUGAAUUUAGUCGCGCCUUGGGCAGCACAAAUCCAAGAUACACCACUGAACAUACCCCAUUUGCAAUACCUUGGGUUGUCUACUAUUGCAAAUCGUAUGCCAUCAUGGGGGUAAUUUUCAUUCCUGGACUACCGUACGGUCUCAAAGGCAACAUAACCAACCUGGCGAAUUUCAGUGUGAAAAAACUGAAACGCAAGCCUUAUAUUUGACUCUGUAACUUUUGAAAACACCAUAAAACCUGUAAAUGAGGGGUAGUGUUAUACUCGGGAGACUUUGCUGAAUACAAACAGUGUUUCAAAACAGUAAUAUCGUCAGUGUAAGUGCCAUUUGUGUGUGAAAAAUGCAAAAAAUGUCACUUUCACUGACGAUAUCGUCAUUGUAAUACACUUACCCCCAUGUACUGGUUUUAUGGUGUCUUGGAAAGUUACAGGGUUAAAUAUAGUGCUAGCAAAUUAAAUUCCCUGAACUUUCUGCCUGGGUUGUCAGGCAGGUCCUGCAAAUUGUAAUUAAUAAAAUGACCUAAUUUAAAAUUAUUACAUAAAUAUAUACGUAAAAUUAUUAUAUAUAUAUAUACACACACCUGUGUGUG